rnacentral:lncRNA from 1 species
CUGUGUCUUCUUUCUCACCCCUACCUGAACAGGAGGGACUGCUACUUAAUCUGCUGAGUCCAAAGCAUGGACUAGAUUGAGGUGUGAGAAAAUUAUGUGAAGUGCCUGUGCUGGUGAAAGCCUGACAAAAGGAAACAACCCUGUUCUUCUCAGAGAAUGUGAAAGGGGCCCAAACUUGGAUCCAAAUGACACCAAUUAG